rnacentral:ncRNA from 1 species
AGUACUAAAAAAUGCCCAGGCUACAGCAUCACAAGGUAAAAUGGGAACCCAAUCCAAAGUGGGGUGGGUCGCUCUACUGUGGGGGGCUCCCCAUCACUGAAAGCCCUAAACAGGCAAAACAGCCUCUUCCAGCACUUUGGGAGGCUGAGGUGGACAGACCACCUGAGGUCAGGAGUUGGAGACCAGCCUGGCCAACAUAGUGAAA